ensembl:lncRNA
AUGGCAGCGCUGAGCCCCAAAGCCAGUGAGCCCUCUUCUCUGCUCCAAAGGCCUCCCCACCAGCUCAUCUGAAAAUGCACUUGCGGAUCUCUUGGCUCUUGUGGCCGAAAGUUCUUCCCAAGUGUCUCCACCUCCCAGCCAGGCCCCUGGACGCUCCAGAUCCCCCUCUGCUGCCUUUUAGGACUUGGCCGAUCGUUUCUCUGUCAAGCAUGUCACAGCCAACGAAGCCAUCAGGACCCUGUGCCUAAGGAGCUCACACACGGAAACUGAGACCCCCGAUGCUGCGUGUAAGCACAGGGCCUUGAGCGCAGCAGGAGCUGGACACACAGCUAACGCAUCACCUGCCAGCGGCUUCCUCAUGCAUGGCCUUAUUUCAUCCUCCCACAGCUCCUUCAAGGGGGGCAUCACUGGGCUGAUUUUCGGAAGAGGAAAUGGGCUCAGGGUGACAUGGCUCAUCCGAGUCUGCACGGUGUUCUUUGCACGGCCUGCAUCUGGUAACACUUCUGGAUCGUGAUGGCUCUCAUCGUCCUGCAGGCAGAGGGAAAACUGCAAAAGCAGAGAAGCAGGACCAAGGGAAGAGGAAGGAGGAGAAGGAGGGUAAAAAAAUCAUCCAGUUCAGAGGGAGCCUGUCCACCAACACGGCCCGUGGGUACGUCGGCACACUCUGUUGUGAUGGAAUGUGCUACCACUAUUUGAAAAACCAGCACGUGGCCCCCAAAGAUCCAGACUUCCAUGUUUGUUUUGAAAGGCUGUAACCCCUUGGCCAGCCAUUGGUGGAAGCCGACUAGGGCUGCCCCUUCUCUAGGGAGGGCCACCCUCUCCGGUGUGCCACGGUCCUCACCCGGCCAGCCUUGUUUCUAUUACCUGCCUGACCCCUGUUGACAAUGAAGUUUAUGGUCCCUGGUCUAUUUCCACCCACCCGCUUCCUCUAAGCAAAGCAGGACCCUGCAAGGUGACGAGCUCAAAGUCAAAGGUAAAUAGGGGGACUUAAGAAAAGCCCCGGAAUUCCUGUUGUGGCUCAGUGGUUACUAAAUCCAACUAGGAACAAUGAGGCCAUGGGUUCGAUCCCUGCUCUCAAUCAGUGGGUUAUGGAUCCAGCGUUGCCUUGAGCUGUGGUGCAGGUCGCAGACGCGGCUGGGAUCCUGCGUGGCUGUGGCUGUGGUGUAGGCCGGAGGCUACAGCUCCAAUUAGCCCCCUAGCCUGGGAACCUCCAUAUGCCAUGAGUGUGGCCCUAAAAAGAAAAAAAAAAUUGGAUUUCUGAUGAGAGCCUCUUCCUGGCUUGAAGGCGGCCACCUUCUUGCAUGUGCUCACGUGGCCUUUCCUCAGUGCAUGUGUUGGGGGGGAAGGGCAAGCUCUCUGGUGUCUCUUCUUACAAAGACAGUAACCCUAUCGGGUCAGGGCCUCAUCCUAUGACUUCAUUUAGCCUUAUUUCCCUAAGUGCUCCAUCUCCAAAUACAGCCACACAGUGGGGUUAGGGCUUCCCCGGUACGAAUUUGGAGGCGCGCGGGGGCGGGGGGACCCAAUUCAGUCCAUAAUGGUACCCGUUUCCUAGGGUUGGACGGAGGACCUGCAGGAAGAAGACCAGUGUCUGGCACGUGGUGCAUGCUCAGUAAAUGUUAGCAAACACGUGAUGAUCAUUUUGAGGGCAUGGGCUUCUUUUUUUUUCUUUUUAGUGGCCACACCUGCAGCACAGGGAAGUUCCCAGACUAGGGGUCAAUUGGAGCUGCCACUGCCAGCCCACACCACAGCCAUAGCCAUGUGGGAUCCCAGCCAGGUCUGCGAUCUACACCACAGCUCAUGGCAAUGCUGGAUCCUUAACCCACUGAGCAAGGCCAGGGAUCACACUUGCCUCCUCACAGAGACAGCGUUGGGUUCUUAACCCACUGAGCCACAACGGGAACUCCCUCUUUAGCUUUUUGUAGCACUUCUUCUGCCAAAAGAGAUGUUUGUCGUGGGCACCCACCUGCUCUCCAAACAGCUGUUGUCUUUCACACGGUCGAGAGAAGUGUUAGAACUGAGAAAGGAAGAUGGGUUGGCGCAUUUCUAAUGCUGGCUUUUCCCUCUAAUUGGACACUCGGAGCACCAUGGGAGACUGUCGACAAGGACCCCUGGGUCCCCUCCUCGGGGAAAACCCAGCACCUCCCCCCAUAACCCUGGGCUCACGCUCAGCACCCCUGGAAGACGGUCAGCUUCUGAAUGUGCUCAGCGCACGGUCUGGAUACGUGGAUGCCUUGGUUCCCUCCUGGGUUCAGUCCUUCUUCCAUCUUCUCUGUCAUCCUCUCUCACCCCCAGGUGUGUGAAGUUCCCCGGAAGGCACUGGGACUGCGCCUGGGCCCUGAAGGUCAAGGUGUCCUCAGCGUCGUCUUUGUUUGCCCCCCGGUCCACCUUCUACUCUGCUCUCGGCAGGAGGCCGUCAGUGGACGGGCUCCCGUCUCCGGGCCUCGCCCCCCUCCAGGCCUCGGGCGGUGAUGACGGCCUCACCAUCCAUCAUGAUCCCCACAUCCUGCCUAUGCCUCUACCAACAGGCCCUUCAAAACAUGUCUUUCAGGAGUUCCCGUCGUAGCACAGUGGUUAACAAAUCUGACUAGGAACCAUGAGGUUGCAGGUUCAAUCCCUGGCCUUGCUCAGUGGGUUAAGGAUCCGGUGUUGCCAUGAGCUGUGGUGUAGGUUGAAGACGCGGCUCGAAUUCUGUGUUGCUGUGGCUCUGGCGUAGGCCGGUGGCUACAGCUCUGAUUCGACCCC